rnacentral:rRNA from 1 species
AUACUAUUGCGCGGUUACCGCGGCUGCUGGCACGGAGUUAGCCGGUGCUUCUUCUGUGAGUGAUGUCCUUCCUGCCGGCUAUUAACCCGCAGGCCUUCUUCCUCACUGAAAGUGCUUUACAACCCGAAGGCCUUCUUCACACACGCGGCAUGGCUGGAUCAGGGUUGCCCCCAUUGUCCAAUAUUCCCCACUGCUGCCUCCCGUAGGAGUCUGGGCCGUGUCUCAGUCCCAGUGUGGCUGAUCAUCCUCUCAGACCAGCUACGGAUCGUCGCCUUGGUGAGCCGUUACCUCACCAACCAGCUAAUCCGACAUAGGCUCAUCCGAUAGCGCGAGGCCCGAAGGUCCCCCGCUUUCCCCCGUAGGGCGUAUGCGGUAUUAGCCUGGGUUUCCCCAGGUUAUCCCCCACUACCGGGCAGAUUCCUAUGCAUUACUCACCCGGUCCGCCGCUCGCCACCAGGGAGCAAGCUCCCCGUGCUGCCGCUCGACUUGCAUGUGUUAGGCCUGCCGCCAGCGUUCAAU